rnacentral:rRNA from 1 species
CCUACGGGAGGCAGCAGUGGGGGAUAUUGCACAAUGGGGGAAACCCUGAUGCAGCGACGCCGCGGGGGUGAAGAAGGGCCUCGGCGCGGAAAGCCCUGUCAGCAGGGAAGAAAAUGACGGUACCUGAAGAAGAAGCCCCGGCUAACUACGUGCCAGCAGCCGCGGUAAUACGGAGGGGGCAAGCGUUAUCCGGAUUUACUGGGGGGAAAGGGGGCGCAGACGGCGCUGCAAGCCAGGAGUGAAAGCCCGGGGCCCAACCCCGGGACUGCUCUUGGAACGGCGUGGCUGGAGUGCAGGAGGGGCAGGCGGCAUUCCUGGUGUAGCGGUGAACUGCGUAGAUAUCAGGCGGAACACCGGUGGCGAAGGCGGCCUGCUGGACUGCAACUGACGUUGAGGCCCGAAAGCGUGGGGAGCAAACAGGAUUCGAUACCCCAGUAGUC